rnacentral:rRNA from 1 species
GAUGAACGCUGGCGGCGUGCCUAAUACAUGCAAGUCGAGCGAACAGACGAGGAGCUUGCUCCUCUGACGUUAGCGGCGGACGGGUGAGUAACACGUGGAUAACCUACCUAUAAGACUGGGAUAACUUCGGGAAACCGGAGCUAAUACCGAUAAUAUAUUGAACCGCAUGGUUCAAUAGUGAAAGACGGUUUUGCUGUCACUUAUAGAUGGAUCCGCGCCGCAUUAGCUAGUUGGUAAGGUAACGGCUUACCAAGGCAACGAUGCGUAGCCGACCUGAGAGGGUGAUCGGCCACACUGGAACUGAGACACGGUCCAGACUCCUACGGGAGGCAGCAGUAGGGAAUCUUCCGCAAUGGGCGAAAGCUUGACGGAGCAACGCCGCGUGAGUGAUGAAGGUCUUCGGAUCGUAAAACUCUGUUAUUAGGGAAGAACAAAUGUGUAAGUAACUAUGCACGUCUUGACGGUACCUAAUCAGAAAGCCACGGCUAACUACGUG